rnacentral:rRNA from 1 species
UACGUAGGCAGCAAGCGUUGUUCGGAAUUACUGGGCGUAAAGAGUAUGUAGGUGGUUUGCUAAGUCCGAUGUGAAAUCUCCCGGCUUAACUGGGAGGGUGCGUUAGAUACUGGCAGGCUUGAGUGUGGGAGAGGAAAGCGGAAUUCCUGGUGUAGCGGUGAAAUGCGUAGAUAUCAGGAGGAACGCCUGUGGUGUAGACGGCUUUCUGGACCAUUACUGACACUGAGAUACGAAAGCGUGGGUAGCAAACAGG